GACGAACGCUGGCGGCGCGCUUAACACAGGCAAGUCGAACGGAGAGGCCCUGCUUUUUUGGGGUGCUCGAGGGGCGAAAGGGUGAGUAACACGUGAGUAACCUGCCCUUGACUUUGGGAUAACUUCAGGAAACUGGGGCUAAUACCGGAUAGGAGCUCCUGCUGCAUGGUGGGGGGUGGAAAGUUUCGGCGGUUGGGGAUGGACUCGCGGCUUAUCAGCGUGUUGGUGGGGUAGUGGAUUACCAAGGCCUUGACGGGUAGCCGGCCUGAGUGGGUGACCGGCUACAUUGGGACUGCGCUACGGCCUCGACUCCUACGCUCGCCCGUAGUGGGGAAUAUUGCAUACUGGGCGGAAGCCUCAUGCAGCACCGCCGCCCCCGGGAUGACAGCCUCAGGGUUGCAACCCGCUACAGCCUGUCACGAAGCGUCCGUCACGGCCUCGGGUCCAGCAGCACCCCCUCACCACCCA
rnacentral:rRNA from 1 species